rnacentral:rRNA from 1 species
UACGAAGGGGGCUAGCGUUGCUCGGAAUCACUGGGCGUAAAGGGCGCGUAGGCGGCCGAUCAAGUCAGAGGUGAAAGCCCAGGGCUCAACCCUGGAAUUGCCUUUGAUACUGUUUGGCUAGAGACCGGAAGAGGUAAGUGGAACUGCGAGUGUAGAGGUGAAAUUCGUAGAUAUUCGCAAGAACACCAGUGGCGAAGGCGGCUUACUGGUCCGGUUCUGACGCUGAGGCGCGAAAGCGUGGGGAGCAAACAGGG